CGUGUCGUGAGAUGUUGGGUUAAGUCCCGCAACGAGCCGCAACCCUCGUCCUAUGUUGCCAGCGGGUCAUGCCGGGGACUCAUGGGAGACUGCCGGGGUCAACUCGGAGGAAGUGGGAUGACGUCAAAUCAUCAUGCCCCUUAUGUCUUGGGCUUCACGCAUGCUACAAUGGCCGGUACAAAGGGCUGCGAUACCGCGAGGUGGAGACGAAUCCCAGAAAGCCGGUCUCAGUUCGGAUUGGGGUCUGCAACUCGACCCCAUGAAGUCGGAGUCGCUAGUAAUCGCAGAUCAGCAACGCUGCGGUGAAUACGUUCCCGGGCCUU
rnacentral:rRNA from 1 species